GGAAGUAAAAGUCGUAACAAGGUUUCCGUAUGUGAACUUGCGGAAGCAUUAUUAUCGAGAUCGAAAGAGCAUUUUGAGCGAUUCAGAUAACUCGUGAACUGCAGCGGCUCGUCUGGCGCCAACACGCAGCAGCAGCUCGAGCCGGCGCCCCCCUCCAGGGGGCUACGGCGCGGGUCGGUUGAACUCAAACAAGUGCAGCGCCGUGCCAAAGGAACACGUUUGUGCAGGAUCCCGCGAGCGGGCUUCAUGACGUGGGCGUCGUUGCGCUCCGAAAGGACUAGCACAACUCUCGGCAAUGGAUAUCUCGGCUCUCGCAUCGAUGAAGAGUGCAGCGAAAUGCGAUACGUGGUGCGAAUUGCAAAAUCCUGCGAACCAUCGAGUCUUUGAACGCAAAUUGCGCCCGAGGCCAAUUGGCCAAGGGAACGCCCGCCUGGACGUCAAGCAUUACCCCACUCGGCGCCCAAGCGCACGUCGCCGGCACGAACACGCAGACUAGCUCCUCGUAUUCGCUGGCGCGGCAGACUGAAGUGCGAGUUGCACCGCUCCCGCUGUGGUCGUGACCUACAAGGGUGGAAGGAAACGUUGUGUGCCUCAGAUAUUUGUCUCGCGUCGCGGCCCACGGGGCGUCUUGCGCUCUCGAUAUUUCAAAUCCCUGCACCGCAAGCCCGUGGUGACUAGGAAUGCAACCUCGGGAUGGGCGGGCCACCCACCGAGUUUAAGCAUAUCAAUAAGCGGAGGA
rnacentral:rRNA from 1 species